rnacentral:tRNA from 1 species
UUACNAGUUCCGGGUUCGAGUCCCGGGCAACCCA